UACGUAGGGCGCAAGCGUUAUCCGGAAUUAUUGGGCGUAAAGAGCUCGUAGGCGGUUUGUCGCGUCUGCCGUGAAAGCCCGGGGCUCAACUCCGGAUCUGCGGUGGGUACGGGCAGACUAGAGUGAUGUAGGGGAGACUGGAAUUCCUGGUGUAGCGGUGAAAUGCGCAGAUAUCAGGAGGAACACCGAUGGCGAAGGCGGGUCUCUGGGCAUUAACUGACGCUGAGGAGCGAAAGCAUGGGGAGCGAACAGG
rnacentral:rRNA from 1 species